rnacentral:rRNA from 1 species
AGAGCGAACGCUGGCGGCAGGCCUAACACAUGCAAGUCGAGCGCCCCGCAAGGGGAGCGGCAGACGGGAGAGUAACACGUGGGAACGUACCCUUCAGUUCGGAACAACCCAGGGAAACUUGGGCUAAUACCGAAUACGUCCGUAAGGAGAAAGAUUUAUCGCUGAAGGAUCGGCCCGCGUCUGAUUAGCUUGUUGGUGAGGUAACGGCUCACCAAGGCGACGAUCAGUAGCUGGUCUGAGAGGAUGAUCAGCCUCACUGGGACUGAGACACGGCCCAGACUCCUACGGGAGGCAGCAGUGGGGAAUAUUGGACAAUGGGCGCAAGCCUGAUCCAGCCAUGCCGCGUGGGUGAUGAAGGCCCUAGGGUUGUAAAGCCCUUUCGGCGGGGAAGAUAAUGACGGUACCCGCAGAAGAGCCCGGCUAACUUCGUGCCAGCAGCCGC